GAACAAACAAAGAAACAAAAAAUGGUAUGGUAAAGCUGUGUGGAGACACAAAUAAACACUUGUCAGGUCAGGGUUCCAAUAAUCACAUAUAAAAAUAUAUAGAUUUAUUAGUAUAAUUGAGUAAACAGCUUCUGAGAAUUCUGAGCAAAGUUUCGGAUCGAAUUCUUGUUUGUUGAGGUGAAGCCCAGCAGACCCUCCUGGUAUGGAACUUUCAAUUCUUUGAUUUUGAUUUAUUCUUCUUCUGUUAUGGAUAGUUAUCCACAGAAAUACUAUUAUAUUCCUGAUUUCAUACUGAUGCAUUUGUUUUUUUUAAUAUCAAUUCCAGUUUUUUAAUAGGAAAUAAGUAAAGGGUCUGAGUGAAAUUGACUUGUGGUUGUGGGUUUGACUUUGAUCAAGAUAAAGUACUGAAUUUGAAGGAAAGUUUAUGUCUUCAGAUUGUUUGCGUUCCUGAUUUGUGAUUUUUCUGGAUCUUGUUAAUGGGAUGCUGCUUAAUUUUUUUCAUGCAGAACCAGAGGUGACAGAUCAGAAGUUUAUGGAGAUUGGUGGUCUGGUCUGGGAGGAAGAUUCCUGAAUUUUAGAGCUUCAGGAUAAUCUAAUAAUGGGUUGUUGUCAGAAUACUGAUUCAAGAUUUCUUGUUUUUUCUUCGCUUUUUUUUAAGCGAUGAAGUAUAUAAAGAUAUUUUUUUUUUUGCAUCAAAUUGGUUAGUGGAAUUUGAUUAAAUUUUGAGGUUUCUUAUUGUUUGAAGCAGUUAACAAGUAAAUAAGUUGUGGAUAUUUGAUAAAUUUUUACUUAGUGAUGGAGGAACAAAGAGUUUAUAGCAAAAGGGCACCUGAAAAUUUAGCUAACAAUUUGAAGGUAGAAGAGGAUGAAGAAGAGUUUCGAAGCUGUUGUGAAGAUGAAGAUGAAUUGAGGGAGAGGGAGAACUCGGUAAAGGAGGUUUCUGAAACCAUUGAUCUUGAUGAAUAUUCUGUGAGAAUGUAUUUCAAGGGUAUAUCAGUUGCUGCUCCUGGAGAAUCUGGUUCUGGAUUUUCUGGAAUUGGAGUGGUUAUGGAGAGGUCUGCAAAUGCUGCUCCUAUUCAAGUGCAGAAAAAGCUUGAUUUUUAUGUUGCAGAAUCUGUGGCCAAUUAUUUAGCUUUAAUGGAUGGUUUAGUAGAAGCUAAAGAGAACAAGAUUAGGAAGGUAUUUGCCUUCACAGAUUCCAAGAUUCUUCAUGAUCAGGUCAGAGAUUUCUCCUUGAAAAUGUCAUCCAUAAAUUCAGUGUUUCAUGAUUUUUUCACUUUUGAUAACUCCUACAUUGAUUGAUUGUUUGGUGACAAUAGUGCUGAAAGAUGUACUUUUUAAUCUGCUGGAAUUUGGGAAUGUGUCAUACAACGCGUUCUGAAUAAAUGUGCCUUGACAAAAUUCUUUUUCUGUUCAAUAUAUUUUAACAUGGUGCUUUCCAUGAAUGCUCUUUCCAAUUACUCCUUUUUUACUUCAACAGAGUGCUAAAGGACCUUUCUUUUUCCUUCUGUGUUAGUUUUCUUGCUAAAUUUGAAGUCAGUGGUAAUUACCGCUUCCCAUCCUUUGAUUUUGGUAUUUAAUCUCACUAAAUCGAGUAGAAAAAGCAUGUAUUUAGAACUGUAGGAACUUUGUUAUACAGAAAAACAGUUCCUAUGUUUCGUUUUUUAACUUAUAUGCAACCAGAUACAGAUUCCUAGUAAAGAAAAGCACUUUCAUCAGAAAGAUACUUUUCUGCUUAAUAACAUGUAAGAAGAUGGGUGAUUCCUAUUUGCUUAUCUGCUAACCAUACACAUAGAGGUCUAGUCAUUCAUAUUUGGGCCUCAAAGAUCAGAACUGCUUAUUGUUUGACUUCUCAUUUUCUGAAAGUAAUAUAACUUUCUGUCAGGUUAUGCAUGGUGAGAGACUUGAGGAUCCACUUCUAAUGGCACUGAAGCAAAGGAUCCUGGAACACACCUGUGAUUUGGAAGCAUUCACACUUGAUUUUGUUCCCAGAAUUAACAUUAAUGCUUUAGGAUUAGCCCAAGUAGCUGUUGGUGUUAUUGCUUUUCCUGCUGAGGGUAACCAAUCGACACAGAGUUGCUCAAUAUGUUGUGACGAGAAGCUUGCUUCGAUGAUGAUGACAAUGAAAUGUUCCCACAAAUUCUGUUCUCACUGCAUGAAACAAUACGUUGAGGAUAAGAUACAAUUUAGUCAAGUCCCAGUUAGAUGUCCUCAACUGAAAUGCAAAUACUACCUUUCUGCUACUGAAUGUAAAACUUUUCUGCCUGUCAUCUCCUAUCAAUCUUUGGAGAAAGCUCUUGCAGAUGCAAAUAUUCUGAACUCCGAUAGCAUGUAUUGCCCUUAUCCUAAUUGUUCAGUCCUACUUGAUCCUAAUGAAUGCUCGUCAUCUAGGGCAAGUUCAUCAAGUAACUCAGAGAACAGUUGUGUGGAAUGCCCCGUUUGUCAGAGGUUUAUCUGUGUGGAUUGUGGGGUCCCUUGGCAUUCGUCAACAACCUGUGAAGAGUAUCAGAGUCUUCCACUGGAGGAGAGGGAUGGAAGUGAUAUCACUUUAUGUCAUCCAGCUCAGAAUAAGAGGUGGAGACGCUGCGGACAGUGUCAUAGGAUGAUUGAGCUCAUGCAUGGGCGCUACCGUAU
rnacentral:lncRNA from 1 species